AUUCUCAAUCGAAAAGGAUGUAGACCAUUGGAUCGACCUCUAGAUUGAAUCGGAGCUAUUAGAUUGCGCUCAAAAAUCCAUCUCUAUUAGUUCUCCCGAUCGACAAUGAUGUCAACUGUUGGAUUGUGGCCUUGGAUGAAAUGCAGCCAUCCAAUUGCGCAAAAUCAAUGGGUGACCACUGCUGGAUAUGGGAUGGAGGGAUCUCAAUCGUUCGAUCAAAUGUUCCGCACCUCUAAACCAUCGAUCAACAUCAAACGAUCUUCCACCUUUCGUGCACUGCAUAA
rnacentral:lncRNA from 1 species